AUUGAACGCUGGCGGCAUGCCUUACACAUGCAAGUCGAACGGCAGCACGGGAGCAAUCCUGGUGGCGAGUGGCGAACGGGUGAGUAAUGUAUCGGAACGUGCCCAGUCGUGGGGGAUAACGCAGCGAAAGCUGUGCUAAUACCGCAUACGAUCUAUGGAUGAAAGCGGGGGAUCGCAAGACCUCGCGCGAUUGGAGCGGCCGAUAUCAGAUUAGGUAGUUGGUGGGGUAAAGGCCCACCAAGCCGACGAUCUGUAGCUGGUCUGAGAGGACGACCAGGCACACUGGGACUGGGACACGGCCCAGACUCCUACGGGAGGCAGUAGUGGGGAAUUUUGGACAAUGGGCGCAAGCCUGAUCCAGCAAUGCCGCGUGCAGGAUGAAGGCCUUCGGGUUGUAAACUGCUUUUGUACGGAGCGAAACGGCUUCCACUAAUACUGGGGGCUAAUGACGGUACCGUAAGAAUAAGCACCGGCUAACUACGUGCCAGCCGCCGCGGUAAGAC
rnacentral:rRNA from 1 species